CCCUUAGAUGUUCUGGGCCGCACGCGCGCUACACUGAUGCAUUCAACGAGCCUAUCCUUGACCGACAGGUCCGGGUAAUCUUUGAAUCUGCAUCGUGACGGGGAUAGAUUAUUGCAAUUAUUAAUCUUCAACGAGGAAUGCCUAGUAGGCGCAAGUCAUCAGCUUGCGUCGAUUACGUCUCUGCCCUUUGUACACACCGCCCGUCGCUCCUACCGAUUGGGUGUGCUGGUGAAAUGUUCGGAUCGGCCGUUUGUCGCGGUUUCCGCGUCAUGUGGCUGAGAAGUUCAUUAAACCCUCCCACCUAGAGGAAGGAGAAGUCGUAACA
rnacentral:rRNA from 1 species